UACGGAGGGUGCGAGCGUUGUUCGGAAUCACUGGGCGUAAAGCGCGUGUAGGCGGCUUGGCAAGUCGAGUGUGAAAUCCCAGGGCUCAACCCUGGAACUGCACCCGAAACUGCCUCGCUGGAGUCCCGGAGAGGGUGGCGGAAUUUCCGGUGUAGAGGUGAAAUUCGUAGAUACCGGAAGGAACACCAGUGGCGAAGGUGGCCACCUGGACGGUGACUGACGCUGAGACGCGACAGCGUGGGGAGCAAACAGG
rnacentral:rRNA from 1 species